UGGUGGUCAUAGCACCGGGGAAACGCCCAGCCUCCAUUCCGAACCUGGAAGCUAAGCCCGGCAGCGCCAAUGGUACUGCAACCGCCAGGUUGUGGGAGAGUAGGACACCGCCACAACAC
rnacentral:rRNA from 1 species